rnacentral:rRNA from 1 species
CAAUAGCGUAUAUUUAAGUUGCUGCAGUUAAAAAGCUCGUAGUUGGAUUUCGGGUGGGAAUGGCCGGUCCGCCGUUUCGGUGUGCACUUGAUACGCCCACCUUGCUGCCGGGGACGUGCUCUUGAGUUCACGCUCGGGACACGGAGUCGGCGAGGUUACUUUGAGUAAAUUAGAGUGUUCAAAGCAGGCCUACGCUCUGAAUACAUUAGCAUGGAAUAACACGAUAGGACUCUGGCCUAUCUUGUUGGUCUGUAGGACCGGAGUAAUGAUUAAGAGGGACAGUCGGGGGCAUUCGUAUUUCAUUGUCAGAGGUGAAAUUCUUGGAUUUAUGAAAGACGAACUACUGCGAAAGCAUUUGCCAAGGAUGUUUUCAUUAA